rnacentral:ncRNA from 1 species
UUUUAUAGACAAGGGUGCUACUUUUUGUGGCUGAGAACAUACCUAUUAGCAGAUCACGGUAAUUCGUGCGUUGCUAGGUCCAGUUUUAUAUUCC